UACGUAUGGAGCAAGCGUUAUCCGGAUUUACUGGGUGUAAAGGGAGCGUAGGCGGCUUUGCAAGUCUGAUGUGAAAGGCCGGGGCUCAACCCCGGGACUGCAUUGGAAACUGUAAAGCUAGAGUGCCGGAGAGGUAAGCGGAAUUCCUAGUGUAGCGGUGAAAUGCGUAGAUAUUAGGAGGAACACCAGUGGCGAAGGCGGCUCUCUGGACUGUAACUGACACUGAGGCACGAAAGCGUGGGGAGCAAACAGG
rnacentral:rRNA from 1 species